GGACCAUGGUGAGAAUGAAAACAAAAGGUAUGUUUCAAAUAAACCAGUAAUAAAGUAGUGUGGUAAAUGUGUAUUGUACUGCUGUUUUAUUUAAGGAAUCAUACUAAACUAAACAUGAAAUACAUAUUAUGAAUAAUAAUUUAAGGAAUCAUACUGCAGUUAGGACCAAUGAUGUUAUAGGCUGUGGGUCAGUGAUGUUGGCUGGGUGCUGGACUGGUAGGUGGAGGAUUAGUGUUGGCUGGGUGCUGGAAGGUGGAGGAGCUGUUUGCUGGUUGUUGAAGCUUGGCUACUGUUGGUCCUUUUCCUCUUUUUAGAUUGGCUCUUGCUUCCAAGAUGUCCAUCGUUUAAGUGUUGUUUUUUUCUGUCAUUUCGUAUUUUUUUAGCCUCAAUCCUCAACCUCAGCCGUAUAAAUCUUUUGGAGAUUUUUCCCUCUACUCCACAGCAUGAUGGAAGCCUGCUGGAGAGUGACUGAGCUUCUUUCUCCAACACAUCCACUGCAUUGGGGAGCUCCAUGAGGAUUGUCAUCUGUUUGCCGUGUUGCAGUUUUGCAUUUUCCACAGAUGCUGGCAAAUCGGAUUAAUUUGUGGACAAUGUAGCCUGCGAGAUGGAAGAGAAUACAUUUCUCUGUUUUUGUGAGGAAGUCUGCCAAAAAACUACUGUCAUCUUCCUGGUAGCUCCCAGAGGUGAUGGUGCU